CAGCAGCCACGGUAAUACGUAGGGUGCAAGCGUUGUCCGGAAUCAUUGGGCGUAAAGCGCGCGUAGGUGGCCAUUUAAGUCCGCUGUGAAGGUCAAAGGCUCAACCCUUGAAAGCCGGUGGAUACUGGAUGGCUAGAGUACGGAAGAGGCGAGUGGAAUUCCUGGUGUAGCGGUGGAAUGCGCAGAUAUCAGGAGGAACACCAAUAGCGAAGGCAGCCCCCUGGGCCAAUACUGACGCUCAUGCACGAAAGCGUGGGGAGCAAACAGGAUUAGAUACCCCUGUAGUCCCUGUCUCUUAUAC
rnacentral:rRNA from 1 species